rnacentral:rRNA from 1 species
UACGAAGGGGGCUAGCGUUGCUCGGAAUCACUGGGCGUAAAGGGUGCGUAGGCGGGUCUUUAAGUCAGGGGUGAAAUCCUGGAGCUCAACUCCAGAACUGCCUUUGAUACUGAAGAUCUUGAGUUCGGGAGAGGUGAGUGGAACUGCGAGUGUAGAGGUGAAAUUCGUAGGUAUUCGCAAGAACACCAGUGGCGAAGGCGGCUCACUGGCCCGAUACUGACGCUGAUGCACGAAAGCGUGGGGAGCAAACAGG